UCCCAAAUUGAUUUUAUGCUUGCAUAAAUGAUUUUUGGAUUCGGAGCGAGUGGCGAACUGGUGAGUAACACGUGGGUAACCUGCCCCGAAGCGGGGGAUAACAUUUGGAAACAAGUGCUAAUACCGCAUAAUUAGUUGGAACCGCAUGGUUCCAACUUGAAAGAUGGCUCUGCUAUCACUUUGGGAUGGACCCGCGCCGUAUUAGUUAGUUGGUGAGAUAAAAGCCCACCAAGACGAUGAUACGUAGCCGACCUGAGAGGGUAAUCGGCCACAUUGGGACUGAGACACGGCCCAGACUCCUACGGGAGGCAGCAGUAGGGAAUCUUCCACAAUGGACGAAAGUCUGAUGGAGCAACGCCGCGUGAGUGAUGAAGGUUUUCGGAUCGUAAAACUCUGUUGUUAAAGAAGAACAAGUGUUAGAGUAACUGUUAACACUUUGACGGUAUUUAACCAGAAAGCCACGGCUAACUACGUGCCAGCAGCCGCGGUAAUACGUAGGUGGCAAGCGUUGUCCGGAUUUAUUGGGCGUAAAGCGAGCGCAGGCGGUUUUGUAAGUCYGCUGWGAAAAGCCYUCAGCUCAACUGAGGAAGUGCCAGUGGAAAGCUACAAAACUUGAGUACAGAAGAGGAAAGUGGAACUCCAUGUGUAGCGGUGAAAUGCGUAGAUAUAUGGAAGAACACCAGUGGCGAAGGCGGCUUUCUGGUCUGUUACUGACGCUGAGGCUCGAAAGCAUGGGUAGCGAACAGGAUUAGAUACCCUGGUAGUCCAUGCCGUARACGAUGAAUACUAGGUGUUGGAGGGUGUUCYGCCCUUCAKUGCCGCAGCUAACGCAUYAAGUAUUCCCGCCUGGGGAGUACGACCGCAAGGUUGAAACUCAAAGGAAUUGACGGGGGCCCGCACAAGUGGUGGAGCAUGUGGUUUAAUUCGAUGCUACGCGAAGAACCUUACCAGCUCUUGACAUCUUCUGCCAACCCAAGAGAUUGGGCGUUCCCUUCGGGGACAGAAUGACAGGUGGUGCAUGGUUGUCGUCAGCUCGUGUCGUGAGAUGUUGGGUUAAGUCCCGCAACGAGCGCAACCCUUAUUAUUAGUUGCCAGCAUUUAGUUGGGCACUCUAGUGAGACUGCCGGUGAUAAACCGGAGGAAGGUGGGGACGACGUCAAAUCAUCAUGCCCCUUAUGAGCUGGGCUACACACGUGCUACAAUGGAUGGUACAACGAGUCGCGAAACCGCGAGGUCAAGCUAAUCUCUUAAAGCCAUUCUCAGUUCGGAUUGCAGGCUGCAACUCGCCUGCAUGAAGUUGGAAUCACUAGUAAUCGUGGAUCAGCAUGCCACGGUGAAUACGUUCCCGGGCCUUGUACACACCGCCCGUCACACCAUGAGAGUUUGUAACACCCAAAGACGAUGG
rnacentral:rRNA from 1 species